AUGUCACUGCCCAGCGAUAACUCUGCCAUCUGGUCUACCUCACCCAGGCACAGGGCAGGCAGCGGUGCUCCAAUGUUUGGGAACUUUCGUAGCUUCAUGCCUUGGGCUCUGCCUUUCUUUUCUCCUCUGCUGUAUCUAGUGCCUCAGAGCAGCAACCAUCAAGCAGUGAGGAACUGGAGACGCCGCGGCCUGCACCUAGCCCUGCCCCACACCUGGCUCUGCAGCAAACCAGAGGGUUACCGGCACGGUGUGUUCCCGCAGCCGAGCAGCACUCUUACAGGGUGUACGCCCUCUGAUUUAUUCUAGACUGGCUCUACGUCUGCAGCAACAAGCAACCACCCAUCAGCUUUUGGAGCCCCAGCCUUUCUCGAGGUGUGCCUAUAGAUGUCUGACAGUCUCAGGCCCUCUAAUGCUGCCGGGUCUGUGCUGGCACAGUCCAGGUCAUGGGGAGGACUCCAAAUGUCUUCAUUUAAGAGAGAAUUGGCUUCCAGCACUGCCCUCGCUGGGGAGCCUCAUCCCAGUCAGAACUCGGUGCCGCAGCAGCUCUGCCUUUUGGUUCUGGCCACUUUA
rnacentral:lncRNA from 1 species